rnacentral:lncRNA from 1 species
CAAGAACCUUGAUUCUUGUGAUACUCCAGUUCCUUCACUAGGGGAAAAGCAAAUACUUUGUGGAUUGUGUUAUUAGGGCACAGAGCGAGGUGGUGCCAAGGAAACCACGUGGCAGUGAAGCACACUGCAAAACAGUUCAUUUAGGAGCUGUGUUGCUCAUUAGGGAAUUAAUGACAGCCAAAAGCCAGUGAAGUUAUAAGCCAACUUCUGAUAGGAGCUGGGAGCAGUCAGCUGCUUCAGUAUGGUAUCUUCAUGCUGGAUGUGACUAUUAAUAUUCCAGGAGGCAUAAAAGGAGGAGUACAGCAGUACUGUGUUGCCGAAGAUGAAGACAUCCUCACCACAGCUGAGAAACCUCUCAGAAAGCACACUUCGGAAGGGUCCUGAGGAAGGAUAUGACAAGUUUCUGCAAGAUGUGACAUCUGAUAGACAGCCUGCUUCCAGUGACCCAGGGCCCCUGUCAGGUACAGUGACGGGUUCAGUUUUAUUGAGGAAGAAGGGAAGUCAAGUGAAGUUACCACAUUCCUGUGGCAUGAAGAAGCAGCAUGACGUUCAGAAACAAUGCCUGUAGUACUUAGUGGCCUUAAAAGAAGUGGUUAAAAGCAGGAAGGGGAACCAUUAAUUGAUACAUACAGCAGACAGGCUGUGAAGGCGACUGACACGCGGUAGGCGAGAUUUUUCAUUAGCUUCUGCCCUUCCACUGAGAUUUGCCUAGAUGUUGCAUUGCAUGCUCACCGUUCCUGCAAAAAUCCCAUUUGCUGAAAUAAGUGGGGAGAUCAUUGUCCUUCCCAUAAAUUUCCAGUCAAUCCAUAUUGU